rnacentral:rRNA from 1 species
GACGAACGCUGGCGGCGUGCUUAACACAUGCAAGUCGAACGGAAAGACCCUGCUUUUGUGGGGUGCUCCAGUGGCGAACGGGUGAGUAACACGUGAGUAACCUGCCCUUGACUUUGGGAUAACUUCAGGAAACUGGGGCUAAUACCGGAUAGGAGCUCCUGCUGCAUGGUGGGGGUUGGAAAGUUUCGGCGGUUGGGGAUGGACUCGCGGCUUAUCAGCUUGUUGGUGGGGUAGUGGCUUACCAAGGCUUUGACGGGUAGCCGGCCUGAGAGGGUGACCGGCCACAUUGGGACUGAGAUACGGCCCAGACUCCUACGGGAGGCAGCAGUGGGGAAUAUUGCACAAUGGGCGGAAGCCUGAUGCAGCAACGCCGCGUGCGGGAUGACGGCCUUCGGGUUGUAAACCGCUUUCGCCUGUGACGAAGCGUGAGUGACGGUAAUGGGUAAAGAAGCACCGGCUAACUACGUG